AAGUCGUAACAAGGUUUCCGUGGGUGAACCUGCGGAAGGAUCAUUAAAGAGAUAGGGUCUUCAUGGCCCGACCUCCAACCCUCUGUUGUUAUAACUACCUUGUUGCUUUGGCGGGACCGUCUCGGUCUCCGAGCGCACUAACCCUCGGGUGCGGCCGCCGCAGAGUCCAACCAAACUUUGUAUUAAACCGUCGUCUGAGUUAAAAUUUUAAUUAAAUUAAAA
rnacentral:misc_RNA from 1 species